rnacentral:rRNA from 1 species
UAUGUACUAGCUUGCUGAUUCCUCCUUCUUGUAGAACCGUAAUGCCAUUAAUUUGGUGUUGCGGGGAAAUAGGACUGUUACUUUGAAAAAAUUAGAGUGUUUAAAGCAGGCUAGCGCCUGAAUACAUUAGCAUGGAAUAAUGAAAUAGGACGUUCGAACCUAUUUUGUUGGUUUCUAGGAUUGACGUAAUGAUUAAUAGGGAUAGUUGGGGGCAUUAGUAUUCAAUUGUCAGAGGUGAAAUUCUUGGAUUUAUUGAAGACUGACUACUGCGAAAGCAUUUGCCAAGGAUGUUUUCAUUAAUCAAGAACGAAAGUUAGGGGAUCGAAGACGAUCAGAUACCGUCGUAGUCUUAACCAUAAACUAUGCCGACUAGGGAUCGGAUGAUGUUAAUUUUUUAGUGACUCAUUCGGCGCCUUACG